UGAGGAAUAUUGGUCAAUGGGCGAGAGCCUGAACCAGCCAAGUCGCGUGAGGGACGAAUGGUCUAUGGCCUGUAAACCUCUUUUGUCAAGGAAGAAUAAAUCGCACGGGUGCGAUCUUGCCAGUACUUGACGAAUAAGCAUCGGCUAACUCCGUGCCAGCAGCCGCGGUAAUACGGGGGAUGCGAGCGUUAUCCGGAUUUAUUGGGUUUAAAGGGCGCGUAGGCGGGACGUCAAGUCAGCGGUAAAAGACUGCAGCUAAACUGUAGCACGCCGUUGAAACUGGCGCCCUCGAGACGAGACGAGGGAGGCGGAACAAGUGAAGUAGCGGUGAAAUGCAUAGAUAUCACUUGGAACCCCGAUAGCGAAGGCAGCUUCCCAGGCUCGUUCUGACGCUGAUGCG
rnacentral:rRNA from 1 species